AACGCACCUUGCGCCCUUUGGUAUUCCGAAGGGCAUGCCUGUUUGAGUGUCAUGAAAACAUCAUCCCAUCGGGUUUCCGAUGACGAUGGACUUGGGUGUUGCCGACCGGCUCGCCUUAAAAGUGUUAGUGGUUCCGAGAUUGAAUCUGGCGUAAUAAGUUUCGCUGGCCUAGGUCGAGGUCUGCUCAUAACCCGUCUUCUGACAUCUUUUGCUCUGACCUCAAAUCAGGUAGGACUACCCGCUGAACUUAA
rnacentral:misc_RNA from 1 species